rnacentral:rRNA from 1 species
CGGCAACAGCUCAAAUUUGAAAUCUGGCGUAUGCUCGAAUUGUAAUUUGUAGAGGAUGUUUCGAAUGCGGUCCAGUUUAAGUUCCUUGGAACAGGACGUCAUAGAGGGUGAGAAUCCCG